rnacentral:rRNA from 1 species
CCCCUAAAGAGUCGUUCUAGACCAGGACGUUGAUAGGCUGGGUGUGGAAGCGCAGUAAUGCGUUAAGCUAACCAGUACUAAUUGCUCGUGCGGCUUGACCCUA